rnacentral:misc_RNA from 1 species
GAUGAAGAACGUAGCAAAAUGCGAUAAGUAAUGUGAAUUGCAGAAUUCAGUGAAUCAUCGAAUCUUUGAACGCACAUUGCGCCCGCCAGUAUUCUGGCGGGCAUGCCUGUUCGAGCGUCAUUUCAACCCUCAGCACAGCUUGGUGUUGGGACUCGCGUUAAUUCGCGUUCCCCAAAUUGAUUGGCGGUCACGUCGAGCUUCCAUAGCGUAGUAGUAAAACCCUCGUUACUGGUAAUCGUCGCGGCCACGCCGUUAAACCCCAACUUCUGAAUGUUGACCUCGGAUCAGGUAGGAAUACCCGCUGAACUUAAGCAUAUCAAUAAGCGGAGGA